rnacentral:lncRNA from 1 species
UCAGAUAAAUGUGUUGAGCAGACAUCUAAAGCCUCUGCUAAAAAUAAAAUUGGCUGCAGGUUUUGUCGCUCUACCUCUGUGGUCUCACUGCACACACAUAUGUUUUAGAUCUGAGGCUAUUAAGGACAUGUGUUCUGACCUAUUAUUUAUAACAAACUGAAAUGGAAAAUGCAACCAGAAGCUUAAAGAAUUUGCCUGUGGACUAUAAAUGCAGGCUGUGAGGUGGCCAAAUCAGGGAUCCAGGAAUAAUCAGAAAGCAUUCAGUAAAACUAUGUGGCUCAUGACCCUUCGGUGGACUCUUUCUGUCCUGCUGUGUAACUUACCCUACCGAGGAUCUGAGAUCAUGCACCCAAAGUUUCUUAGAACUUCAAGCGCUGGUUUAUUUUUAUUCUUGCUCAAAAUCCAGAAGAUUUUGAGUUUUUAAUCUGGGCAAGGACAGCCUCCUAUCUCUGCCUUUCCAGGGAUAGCUACAACUCUUCUGAAGUUAGUGAUGCAGGUUAAACCAUUCUUAUCCUUUUGUCUUGGCAAAUAAAAGUACUAGCAGUGGGAAAAAGAUGAUUGCUGAAAUCCGGUGUUCAUGUGUUUCCUAGUUUUGACUGUAGAAAAUGAGGGAAUGAAAGAUCACAAUUAAAGGGAAAGCUUGAAUCCCCUCCUGUUGCUGAGGAAGCCUCAGGAUAGUUAUGACUGCUGAUUCCAAACAUGUGUGCCCAUCCUUGCUUUUAGACAUAACAGCAUUUGUGCUGGUCAGUUUUAUGUUGCUGUGACAAAAUACCUAGAAUCAACUUAAAAGGAACAAAGGUUUAUUUUGGCUCACGAUCUCAAGAGGUUUUGGUCCAUCGUUCCUUGUCCUAUUGCUUUGGGCCUGUGGUGGCACAGUAUCUCAUGGCAACAGAAAGCAACAAAUAAACGAAUAAUAAGAGAGGAAGGGUUAGGGUCCCAAUAUCCCCUUCAAGGAAACACCCCCAAUGAUCUAACUUCCUUCUCCUAGGUCUCACCUCUUAAGUAGUCCAUCACCUCCCAAGAACACCACAGAACACCUCUAGCAUUUAGGCCUUUGGGGAAUAUUUAGAUCCAAACCAUAAUACCAUCCAUGAUAUUUUUGAGAUACUUAGAUAGUAGACAGUAGAUAUACAGAAUAUAUUAUUCUAGUCCAAGAUGUUUUCAUUUCCUUUUUCUUUUGCCAUAGAUAGAGUAUAAAUAUAUAAAAUACUUCUGAGUUUGAACUUAAAUUUAACAGAUUUCCUUUCAAUGCAUUAAUAAGAAAAUGAAAAAAAUUGAAGGUUUGACAAUGGUUCUAAAUUCUUUUCUUCUUUCAGGAGAUUGAUAGGGGAAAACACCAGAAUUUGUUUGUGAAAUCGGCAGUCUAGAAACCCACAUUUUUUAAUGGAAGACAUCCCAGCUGAAAACCUAAAGAUCUGAGUUUUAACACCAGGUUUCAGAUACUAAGCUUUCCCAUGCCUUAGUUUGCUAAACUGUGAAAUGAAAUUUAGAUAAUGCUU